AUUUGUAAAUACACCCCAUCUUACAGCACAUGGACCUUAACAGAGGAACUACUGAUAUGAGCCCUGAGCAGGAGCUGGCCUUGGGCAGCCAGCAACACGAGCAGCCUGGUAUGGAGCUUCCAAGAGAAUGGUCACAGUUUUGCAAAGAAAUAGCACACCUCAGAAGAGAUGCUUGUAAAACGGUAGAAGCUGAAACUAAAGCAAGAACAGAAGUUUCCUCCUUUUCUCCUUGAAAUUCUUUCGGAAAGAACACUUUUGACUCUCUCAUUUUAUAAAGGAGUUGGGAAACUGUGUUGUUUAACAGAGGAAAAGUGAAUGAUUGAGAAACCUUGCUUCCUUUGCUUAUGGAUGUGAAUGCCAACAGUAGCUAAUCAAUGAGGAGGAGACCAGGAGAACUGCAUCUGUUGAUUUUUGUUAAGCAAUGGAAGAAAGAAAAGAGAAAAAAGUGGUUUUCUCCUUUGUUUCCAUUGGAAAUAGAACAGCAAGUAGACUGUGAUGUAACAUUAUUAAUAUCAGUCAUAGAAGAGAAUAUAUUAAAACAACAUAAUUCCAGAUGUUCAAUGAAGAUUGGCUAAUUGAAGAUCCAGUUGCUAAAAAAUGUGCCCUCAGGACUCUUUUUGUCACUGUAGUUCAUCAUGUGGGGUGAAGAGGAGGUCUCUGAAAACAUAGGCAGGUCACCACAAAUUGAUGCUGCAUGACACUUCAGUUGGCUG